UACGGGAGGCAGCAGUGGGGAAUAUUGCACAAUGGGCGCAAGCCUGAUGCAGCCAUGCCGCGUGUAUGAAGAAGGCCUUCGGGUUGUAAAGUACUUUCAGUCGUGAGGAAGGUGUUAAGGUUAAUAACCUUAGCAAUUGACGUUAGCGACAGAAGAAGCACCGGCUAACUCCGUGCCAGCAGCCGCGGUAAUACGGAGGGUGCGAGCGUUAAUCGGAAUUACUGGGCGUAAAGGGCACGCAGGCGGUUAAUUAAGUUGGAUGUGAAAUCCCCGGGCUUAACCUGGGAAUGGCAUUCAAGACUGGUUAGCUAGAGUCUUGUAGAGGGGGUAGAAUUCCAUGUGUAGCGGUGAAAUGCGUGGAGAUGUGGAGGAAUACCGGUGGCGAAGGCGGCCCCUGGACAAAGGCUGACGCUCAUGUGCGAAAGCGUGGGGAGCAAACAGGGAUUAGAUACC
rnacentral:rRNA from 1 species